rnacentral:SRP_RNA from 1 species
AAUUCGGUCUCGCGCAAUGGGAAUCUACGAACCGUGUCAGGUUGGGAACAAAGCAGCACUAAGUAGAACCUCUCAUGUGCCGUGAGGCAACCGGGUGGAG